rnacentral:rRNA from 1 species
AUUGAACGCUGGCGGCAGGCCUAACACAUGCAAGUCGAGCGGAUGAAGGGAGCUUGCUCCUGGAUUCAGCGGCGGACGGGUGAGUAAUGCCUAGGAAUCUGCCUGGUAGUGGGGGAUAACGUCCGGAAACGGGCGCUAAUACCGCAUACGUCCUGAGGGAGAAAGUGGGGGAUCUUCGGACCUCACGCUAUCAGAUGAGCCUAGGUCGGAUUAGCUAGUUGGUGGGGUAAAGGCCUACCAAGGCGACGAUCCGUAACUGGUCUGAGAGGAUGAUCAGUCACCCUGGAACGGAGAACGGGUCAAAACCCCUAGGGGAGGAAGGGGGGGGGAAUAUUGGAAAAGGGGGGAAAGCCUGAUCCAGCCAGUCCGGGGUGGUGAAGAAGGUCUUCGGAUUUUAAAGCACUUUAAGUUGGGAGGAAGGGCAUUAAGUUAAUACCUUGCUGUUUUGACGUUACCAAAAGAAUAAGCACCGGCUAACUUCGU